GUGCCAGCCGCCGCGGUAAUACGUAGGGGCCCAGCGUUGUCCGGAUUCAUUGGGCGUAAAGCGCGCGCAGGCGGCCCGGUGUGCCGCCCGUGAAAUCCCCCGGCUCAACCGGGGGGGGUCGGGCGGGACUGCCGGGCUGGAGGCGGGUAGGGGAGAGCGGAAUUCCCGGUGUAGUGGUGGAAUGCGUAGAGAUCGGGAGGAACACCAGUGGCGAAGGCGGCUCUCUGGACCCUUGCCUGACGCUGAGGCGCGAAAGCGUGGGGAGCGAUCCGGAUUAGAAACCCGCGUAGUCC
rnacentral:rRNA from 1 species